rnacentral:lncRNA from 1 species
ACCAAUGGCCAAAGUCAACCCAAAGUCAAAACCAACCCAAGGUCAACUCAAAGUCAAGACCAACCAAUGGCCAAAGUCAAGGCCAACUCAUGUCAAGAUCAAGCAACUCAACAUCAAGACCAACCCAAGGUCAAGAUGAACCCAAACUCAAGACCGACCCAAUGUCGAGACCAAUCCAAGGCCAACCCAGAGGUCAAGACCAACCAAUGGCCAAAGUCAACCCAAAGUCAAGACCAACUCACGGUGAAGACCAACCCAAGGUCAACCCAAAGUCAAGGCCUACUCAUGUCAAGAUCAAGCAACUCAACAUCAAAACCAACCCAAAGUCAAAACCAACUCAAGGUCAAGACCAACCAAUGGCCAAAGUCAACCCAAAGUCAAAACCAACUCAAGGUCAAGAUGAACCCAAAGUCAAGACCGAUCCAAUGUCGAGACCAAUCCAAGGCCAACCCAACAUCAAGACCAACUUGAGGUCAAGACCAAC